CCAGGAGCCUCUGUGCCUGGGAGUCCAGGCGCGGGAAAAAGGGACCGUCCCUUUAUCUCACAGGCACAGAAAUGCCGCCCGCAGGAAAAGAGCUGGUCUCUCUGUCCCUCGGGCUCAGGAAAGCCCGCCAAACUCACCAGUGCCCCAAAAGUGCCCACACCAAUCUCAGGGACCCACAUGUCGGUCUCUCGAUCUACUAACCUCCGUUCGCAAGGUCCUGGUGUGAAACCCAGACAAGGGCAGCAUCUUCUUCCGGGGUAUGAAUGCUCC